rnacentral:rRNA from 1 species
AACGAACGCUGGCGGCAUGCCUAACACAUGCCAGUCGAACGAUUGCCUUCGGGUGAUAGUGGCGCACGGGUGCGUAACGCGUGGGAAUCUGCCCUUAGGUUCGGAAUAACAGCUGGAAACGGCUGCUAAUACCGGAUGAUAUCGCGAGAUCAAAGAUUUAUCGCCUGAGGAUGAGCCCGCGUUGGAUUAGGUAGUCGGUGGGGUAAAGGCCUACCAAGCCGACGAUCCAUAGCUGGUCUGAGAGGAUGAUCAGCCACACUGGGACUGAGACACGGCCCAGACUCCUACGGGAGGCAGCAGUGGGGAAUAUUGGACAAUGGGCGCAAGCCUGAUCCAGCAAUGCCGCGUGAGUGAUGAAGGCCCUAGGGUUGUAAAGCUCUUUUACCCGGGAAGAUAAUGACUGUACCGGGAGAAUAAGCCCCGGCUAACUCCGUG